rnacentral:lncRNA from 1 species
AAUUUCAGCAUAAACAAGCACAAAAAUUUAGUCUGCUGGCAGACUGAAGCAAAAAAGUCAAGAUGGAAUACAAUGAAUUCCAACACAAUGGGGCACCAGGCUUUUCGGCCUCGUUUUAAAUUUUGUUUCGGUUUCGUUUGUUUUUCUUUAGAGAUGUGCUCUUUCUCAUGGGACUUGAAGUGGAGUCGUCUUUGUGCUGUGCUAGUUUUGCCAUACUCAUUUCAGAUUUGAAGGAGUGUCCAAACAGGUUGUGUGCUGGAGUUCCUUCAAGACAAAAACAAACCCAGCUUGGUCAAGGCUAUUACCUGUUUCCCAUCUGUAGUUACUGGAUGAAGUCAUGUACAUGACCAUUCUGUAGCAAUAAAUGUGCCAAUUCUACUACAAAAAAGAAGAAGAAAGAAAGAAAGAAGAAGAAGAAAAGAAGAAGAAGAAGAAGAAGAAAGAAGAAGAAGAAGAAGAAGAAGAAGAAGAAGAAGAAGAAGAAGAAGAAGAAGAAGAAGAAAUCUUCAAACUGCUUUAUACAGUGGCUUAACUAAUUUACAUUCCCACCAAUAGAGUAGAAGCAUUCCUUUUUCUCUGCAGCCUCACCAGCAUCUGUUGUUUUUUGACUUUUUAAUAGUCAUUCAGAUUGCUAUGAGAUGGUAGCUCAUUAUAGUUUUGAUUUUCAUUUCUCUGAAGAUUAGUGAUGUUGAGAAUUUUUUUAGGUGUUUGUUGGCCACUUCUUUUGAGAAGUGUCUGUUCAUAUCUUUUACCCAAUACUUAAUGGGGCUAUUUGUUUUUUGCCUAUUCAAUUGUUUUAAGUUCCUUAUAGACUCUGAACAUUAGACCUUUGUGGAAUGCAUGGUUUGUGAAUAUUUUCUCCCAUCCUGUAGGUUGUCUGUCCACUUCACUGACAGUUUCUUUUGCUGUGUAGUUCUUUAGUGUAAAUAGGUCCCAUCUGUUAAUUUUUGUUUUUGUUCCAAUUGUUUUUGGGAAUUAGCCAUAAGUUCUUCACCAUGGCCAAUGUGCUGAAGGGUAUUUCUUAGAUUUUCAUCCAGAAUUUUUAUAGCUUUAUUUCUAUUAUCUGACUUUUAAUUGAUAUUUAAUCAUCUUUUCAUAUUGCUUGUAAUUUUUUCCCCAUCCUCUGCCUUCUGUUAUAUUUGACUUUCUAUAUUCC